rnacentral:rRNA from 1 species
AUUGAACGCUGGCGGCAGGCCUAACACAUGCAAGUCGAGCGGAUGACGGGAGCUUGCUCCUCGAUUCAGCGGCGGACGGGUGAGUAAUGCCUAGGAAUCUGCCUGGUAGUGGGGGACAACGUUUCGAAAGGAACGCUAAUACCGCAUACGUCCUACGGGAGAAAGCAGGGGACCUUCGGGCCUUGCGCUAUCAGAUGAGCCUAGGUCGGAUUAGCUAGUUGGUGGGGUAAUGGCUCACCAAGGCGACGAUCCGUAACUGGUCUGAGAGGAUGAUCAGUCACACUGGAACUGAGACACGGUCCAGACUCCUACGGGAGGCAGCAGUGGGGAAUAUUGGACGAUGGGCGAAAGCCUGAUCCAGCCAUGCCGCGUGUGUGAAGAAGGUCUUCGGAUUGUAAAGCACUUUAAGUUGGGAGGAAGGGCAGUAAGUUAAUACCUUGCUGUUUUGACGUUACCGACAGAAUAAGCACCGGCUAACUCUGUGCCAGCCGCCGCAGUAAAAC